AAAUGCGCAUCACCCUCUUUCUCCCUCAUAUAUUCUCUCUCUCUCUCUCUCUGACACACAGAAACAUCCACGCUCCUGGAUUUGCAGAAGACAGACAUCUAGGGCACUUCUUGGCAUCCCCAGGAAAAUCGUAUGGGAUUAAAAACCCACAGCAGAAUUGCUGGAAGCUGCUUCUCGAGGAUUACAACUUCACCUUUUGCUUUUACGGAUGCUUGUUUACUAUCCAUGUGGUAACCUCUGGACAGCCAGUAAUCCAUUCAUUAUCCCCACUGAUUGAGUGAGGGAGUAGUGCAGCGGUAACUACUUCACUCGGCUGAAGGCAGACAACAAAAGGAGGAAAAUGAUGAAUUCGGACAAUUUAACUUCCCAAAGCUUCCUCUCUGCAAUUCACAGCAACGCCAGCAAUUUAUUCUCAGGUCUCCAGUUUGUUCAGUCCUUCAAGCCACUAAUCAUCCCCUGCUACUCCCUGGUGGUUUUCAUCGGUGUCAUUGGGAAUUACCUGCUCAUUUAUGUUAUCUGCAAGACAAAAAAAAUGCACAAUGUCACCAACUUUCUCGUAGGCAAUCUGGCUUUCUCAGACAUGCUCAUGUGUGCAACCUGUGUGCCCCUGACGCUCGCCUAUGCCUUCGAGCCCCGGGGGUGGGUGUACGGGCGGUUCAUGUGCUACUUUGUUUUCCUGAUGCAGCCCGUCACGGUGUUCGUGUCUGUGUUCACCCUGACUGUCAUAGCUGUGGACAGGUACUGUGCCAUGGUGUACCCCUUCCGCAGGAGGCUCACCAUCCCUGUCUGUGCUUACAUCCUGGCUGCUAUUUGGCUGCUGAGCUGCACCCUGGCUGCCCCAGCCUUAGUCCACACUUACCACGCGGAGUUCCCGGAGCUGGACUUCUCCAUCUGCGAGGAGUUUUGGUUCCACAUGAAAAGGGAUCGCUUGGCUUAUGCCUACAGCACCCUCAUCAUCACCUACGUGUUGCCUUUGGCUGUCAUCUCCCUGUCCUACCUGAGGAUCUCAGUCAAGCUGAAGAACCGUGUGGUGCCAGGUAAUGUCACCCAGGGCCAGGCCGAGUGGGACCGUGCACGGAGGAGGAAGACUUUUCGCCUGCUGGUCUUAGUGGUGGCAGCCUUUGGAGUCUGUUGGCUGCCUCUGCACAUCUUCAACGUGAUAAAGGACAUAGACAUCAGCCUGAUUGACAAGCAGUAUUUCAACUUUAUCCAGCUGCUGUGCCACUGGUUUGCAAUGAUGUCUGCUUGCACCAACGCCUUCCUCUAUGCCUGGCUCCAUGACAGCUUCAGGGGAGAGCUGAAGAAAAUGUUUGCCUGGAGAAAGAAGAAAAUUGGACCCGCUACAAACUGCAUUAUGGCCAGUGUGGUGCUGUAAACGAGGUCUGGUGGGAGUGCAUUUCCUUUGUACAGUAACAUUAUCAAGAUGCUUUACUGGAAGUCCCAGAGAGGAGCUGCAGGUGCAUCAGAGGGAACAUCUAAAAGGGGAUUUUUAAUCCCCACAUCUACAUUUCCUGCAAUUCCUGUGUUUCCAUGAGGCACUGGAGACCUUUCAGCAGCGAGCAGGACUGCAGAGAGAAGCUGGUGGUGAUGAGAUCUGCCUCUCCUGCUGAGCACGGCUUCCAGACAACCUGCUGGAAAGGUGUUUGUGACUCACAGCAGCAGAAGGGGUUUGUGAGAGCCUGGGGACGUUUGUGGUGCUGAGGGUCACUCUUGCCCAGCUCAGGUUCUCCCCAGCAGCUUCACCAAGAAGGUGCUGUGCUCAGCUGGAGCAGCUGGGGCUCUGGU